AUACAUUAAAUACCAGACCUUUGGAGAGAGAAAAAAAAACCUGUUAAGAAAAGACAUGUAAUUUAUUCUUAUUACCUUGAUGGUGUUUUCAUCUUCCAGAAAUUAAAAAAAAGGAACAAUAGAAGCAGCUGUCCUUGGCUGCUUGAUUACCAGGAAAAACCUGAUUGUUAAAUUCAAACCUUUGGUCGGAAGUGAUAAGGUUACCUUGAGAUUUAUGUCACUCAAAGAAAGGGGGGACCAAGCAAGUUCUGACGUUCAGCCUGUAUUUUAGCAAAGUCGACUGCAACGUGUUUAAGGAGAUAUUUGUUAUCGUUUUCUCAAUAUAAAUAUUUAAGAAGUUCCAGGUUAACGGGCAUUUUGGUGAAGGGAAACAGUGAAUAUCAGAAUAACAACGUUGUAAGGGACUGUGGAGGUCUUCUAGUCCAAACCCCUUCCUAGGGCAGGAAAUGCUAUAUUGGAGACCCUUAUAUAAACCUACAUUGAAAGAGCCAUGAAUACACAUUUAAGCACGUAAAGAAAACGAGAAGAAUCUGGAAAAAAUACAUAGCUGCGUUUACAAAAUCUAUUUUUGGUGAACUCAGUUUGAGAAGGAAAAUAUAUAUAGGGAAUGUAUUUUAAAUAAUAUGUGUUAAGAUUGAUUACAAAAGAAGUAGGUAUCUUGCAAAUGGGCUACGAAUUUAAGAGUUCAAAUAUAUUUCUUGAAAAGAAUUGGGGAAAAUUUGCAAGAGUUGCAAAACUGAGGCAGAGGAAAGUGUUUUCCGUUUUCCAAAAAAGAGAAAAUCUAAAAACUAAAUAUUUAGAAACCAUCCAUCUUGAUGCUGAUACUUGCGUUAUCUGGACCAGAUUGUUGAGCAGUUAGAGUUUAAUGGGAGAAAUAACUGUAUUCACAAAGAGGAGAUUAGAUUUCUGAACAAUUAAUCUUAUCAGAUUAAUUAACUUAAGUACUUUCAAGA